UCUGCCUCUUUCUUUUCUUCUUCUUUCCAUGUAGAGCUUCUCUUUCUUGCUUUGCUUUCCCUGCCUCAUGUCACAGCUCACUGCCAUGAUCAGCACCAAGAAGAUAUUUGAUCGCUACCAGCAGGUCUCCGGAACCAACCUGUGGAGUGCACAAUACGAGGCAAGAACUACCUUCAUCUCCGAGUUCCAUGUCUGUAUAUGCUUUCACUCAUGAUCAAGGGUCUCAUGUCUUACAUGCUUCUUUCUUUCUCUUGGGGUGGAAGUAGAGAAUGCAAAACAACCUCAACCAUCUGAAGCAGAUUAACCGCAACCUGCGUAGAGAAAUAAGGUCCC
rnacentral:lncRNA from 1 species